rnacentral:tRNA from 1 species
GCGCGGGUGGCGAAAUUGGUAGACGCACCAGGUUUAGGUCCUGACGUUGGCAACAACGUGCCGGUUCGAGUCCGGCCCCGCGCACCA